rnacentral:rRNA from 1 species
UACGUAGGGUGCGAGCGUUAAUCGGAAUUACUGGGCGUAAAGCGUGCGCAGGCGGUUUUGUAAGCCAGAUGUGAAAUCCCCGGGCUUAACCUGGGAAUUGCAUUUGUGACUGCACGGCUAGAGUGUGUCAGAGGGGGGUAGAGUUCCACGUGUAGCAGUGAAAUGCGUAGAUAUGUGGAGGAAUACCGAUGGCGAAGGCAGCCCCCUGGGAUAACACUGACGCUCAUGCACGAAAGCGUGGGGAGCAAACAGG